rnacentral:rRNA from 1 species
CGCCUGUUUAUCAAAAACAUGUUCUUUAGAUUUAUUAAAGAUUUAGCCUGCUCUAUGAUUUAAAUUAAAUGGCCGCAGUAUUUUAACUGUGCUAAGGUAGCAUAAUAAUUAGUUUCUUAAUUAGGAUCUGGAAUGAAUGGUUGGACAGGAGGUAAACUUUAUUAUUUUUUUUUUUGAAUUUAAUUUUUUAGUUAAAAAGCUUAAAUUUUUAAUUGUGACGAUAAGACCCUAUAGAUCUUAAAAAUAUUUUUAUAUAAAUUUUUUUGUGGUAUUCUUUUUUUUGUAGGAAUUAUUUUUUAGUUGGGGUGAUUAAAGAAAUUUUAAACUUUUUUUUUUUUUUACAUUGAUAUAUGUUUUUUUGAUCUUUAAUUUUGAUUAAAAGAGUAAGAUACCUUAGGGAUAACAGCGUAAUAUAUUUGGAGAGUUCUUAUUGAUAAGUAUGUUUGCGACCUCGAUGUUGGAUUAAGAUUAAUAAUUGGGGCAGAAGAUUAUUUAUUAGGUCUGUUCGACUUUAAAAUCUUACAUGAUCUGAGUUCAGACCGG